GAUGAACGCUGGCGGCGUGCUUAACACAUGCAAGUCGAACGGAAAUUAUUUUAUUGAAACUUCGGUCGAUUUAAUUUAAUUGUAGUGGCGGCCGGGGGAGUAACGCGUGGGUAACCUGCCUUAUCCAGGGGGAUAACAGUCAGAAAUGGCUGCUAAUACCGCAUCAGCGCACAGAGCUGCAUGGCUCAGUGUGACAAACUCCGAUGGUAUAAGAGGGACCCGCGUUGGAUUCGCUUGUUGGCAGGGUAACGGCCUACCACGGCGACGAUCCGUAGCCGGCCUGAGAGGGAGAGCGGCCACAUUUGGACUGAGACGCGGUCGAGACUCCUACGGGAGGCAGCAGUGGGGAAUAUUGCACAAUCGCGUGAGUGAUGAUGGAGCGACGCUGCGUGAAGGCAGAAGUAUCUGGGUAUGUAAACUGCUAGCAGCAAUGAACAUAGUGACGGUACCUGACCAAGAAGCCCCGGCUAACUACGUG
rnacentral:rRNA from 1 species